rnacentral:rRNA from 1 species
GAUGAACGCUGGCGGCGUGCCUAAUACAUGCAAGUCGAGCGAACAGAUGAGGAGCUUGCUCCUCUGACGUUAGCGGCGGACGGGUGAGUAACACGUGGAUAACCUACCUAUAAGACUGGGAUAACUUCGGGAAACCGGAGCUAAUACCGGAUAAUAUAUUGAACCGCAUGGUUCAAUAGUGAAGGACGGUUUUGCUGUCACUUAUAGAUGGAUCCGCGCCGCAUUAGCUAGUUGGUAAGGUAACGGCUUACCAAGGCAACGAUGCGUAGCCGACCUGAGAGGGUGAUCGGCCACACUGGAACUGAGACACGGUCCAGACUCCUACGGGAGGCAGCAGUAGGGAAUCUUCCGCAAUGGGCGAAAGCCUGACGGGGCAACGCCGCGUGAGUGAUGAAGGUCUUCGGAUCGUAAAACUCUUUUAUUAGGGAAGAACAAAUGUGUAAGUAACUAUGCACGUCUUGACGGUACCUAAUCAGAAAGCCACGGCUAACUACGUG